rnacentral:rRNA from 1 species
GACGAACGCUGGCGGCGUGCUUAACACAUGCAAGUCGAACGAGGCCCAUGAAGUAGCAAUACUCCGGAAGACCUAGUGGCGAACGGGUGCGUAACACGUGAGGAACUUGUCCCGGUCUCUGGGAUAACAGUUGGAAACGACUGCUAAUACCGGAUGACGUCGGAGCGUCGCAUGGCGCGCUGACGAAAGGGUUACUGGAUCGGGAGAGCCUCGCGGCCUAUCAGCUAGUUGGUGGGGUAACGGCCUACCAAGGCAUCGCCGGGUAGCUGUGCUGAGAGGAUGAUCAGCCACACUGGGACUGAGACACGGCCCAGCCUCCUACGGGAGGCAGCAGUGGGGAAUCUUGCGCAAUGGGCGAAAGCCUGACGCAGCAACGCCGCGUGCGGGAAGAAGGCUCUCGGGUUGUAAACCGCUUUCAGCAGGAACGAAAAUGACGGUACUUGCAGAAGAAGGUGCGGCCAACUACGUGCCAGCCGCCGCCGUAAUAC